rnacentral:other from 1 species
UUAUCCCUGCGAUGCGCGAGGGAAAAGGACGAUUUUGAGCCAACACCAUAACACUGGGAGCCUGGCUUUAGAUGCGGCUGUAGACCUUGUUUACAACGAUAAGGGAACAUUAACCAUCUAAGAGGGCACCCACUUAUUUAAUGGGUUCAAAAUGCAGUCUUUUCUACGGCAUUAGCGGGGAUUUU